rnacentral:rRNA from 1 species
GUGAGGAAUAUUGGUCAAUGGGCGAGAGCCUGAACCAGCCAAGUAGCGUGAAGGAUGACUGCCCUAUGGGUUGUAAACUUCUUUUAUAAAGGAAUAAAGUCGGGUAUGUAUACCCGUUUGCAUGUACUUUAUGAAUAAGGAUCGGCUAACUCCGUGCCAGCAGCCGCGGUAAUACGGAGGAUCCGAGCGUUAUCCGGAUUUAUUGGGUUUAAAGGGAGCGUAGAUGGAUGUUUAAGUCAGUUGUGAAAGUUUGCGGCUCAACCGUAAAAUUGCAGUUGAUACUGGAUAUCUUGAGUGCAGUUGAGGCAGGCGGAAUUCGUGGUGUAGCGGUGAAAUGCUUAGAUAUCACGAAGAACUCCGAUUGCGAAGGCAGCCUGCUAAGCUGCAACUGACAUUGAGGCUCGAAAGUGUGGGUAUCAAACAGG